CGAAAGCCUGACGGAGCAAUACCGCGGUGAGGAGAAGGCUCUUGGGUCGUAAACCUCUUUUCUCAGGGAAGAAGAAAGUGACGGUACCUGAGGAAUCAGCAUCGGCUAACUCCGUGCCAGCAGCCGCGGUAAUACGGAGGAUGCAAGCGUUAUCCGGAAUCAUUGGGCGUAAAGAGUCCGUAGGUGGCGCAUCAAGUCUGUCGUUAAAGAGCAGGGCUUAACCCUGGAGAGGCGGUGGAAACUGAUGAAGCUAGAGUACGGCAGGGGUAGAGGGAAUUCCCAGUGUAGCGGUGAAAUGCGUAGAGAUUGGGAAGAACACCGGUGGCGAAAGCGCUCUACUAGACCUGUACUGACACUGAGGGACGAAAGCUAGGGGAGCGAAUGGGAUUAGAUACCCCAGUAGUCCUAGCCGUAAACGAUGGAUACUAGGUGUUGUCUGUAUCGACCCGGACAGUGCCGGAGCUAACGCGUUAAGUAUCCCGCCUGGGGAGUACGCACGCAAGUGUGAAACUCAAAGGAAUUGACGGGGGCCCGCACAAGCGGUGGAGUAUGUGGUUUAAUUCGAUGCAACGCGAAGAACCUUACCAGGGCUUGACAUGUCGCGAAUCCCCUUGAAAGGGGGGAGUGCCUUCGGGAGCGCGAACACAGGUGGUGCAUGGCUGUCGUCAGCUCGUGUCGUGAGAUGUUGGGUUAAGUCCCGCAACGAGCGCAACCCUCGUCCUAAGUUGCCAGCAUUAAGUUGGGCACUCUGAGGAGACUGCCGGUGACAAACCGGAGGAAGGUGGGGAUGACGUCAAGUCAGCAUGCCCCUUACGCCCUGGGCUACACACGUACUACAAUGCUACGGACAAAGGGUUGCAAGCGCGCGAGUGCAAGCUAAUCCCAUAAACCGUGGCUCAGUUCAGAUCGAAGCUUGCAACUCAGCUUCGUGAAGGCGGAAUCGCUAGUAAUCGCAGGUCAGCAUACUGCGGUGAAUCCGUUCCCGGGCCUUGUACACACCGCCCGUCACACCAUGGGAGCUGGCCACGCCCGAAGUCGUUACUCCAACCUUUCGAGGAGGAGGAUGCCGAAGGCAGGGCUGGUGACUGGGGUGAAGUCGUAACAAGGUAGCCGUACCGGAAGGUGUGGCUGGAUCACCUCCUUUUAGGGAGACCAACGGAAAUCACUGCCGAACCCCAAAGAACAAGGCAGGAUAGAAGUCAUCCCAAGGUCGGGCGAGGAAAAGGUUAAUUUCGGGCUUUCAAACUAAACAGGUGGCGGGACAAGGGCUAUUAGCUCAGGUGGUUAGAGCGCACCCCUGAUAAGGGUGAGGUCCCUGGUUCGAGUCCAGGAUGGCCCACCUGAAUCAAUUCAAAAUUAAGAAUUCAAAAUUCAAAAUUAAGAAGUUUUUUUUGAAUUGGUCAUUUUGAAUUUUGAAUUGAUAGAUGGGGGUAUAGCUCAGUUGGUAGAGCGCUGCCUUUGCAAGGCAGAUGCCAGCGGUUCGAGUCCGCUUACCUCCACCAGAAAAAGAGUAGACCAAGGAAUAAAUAGCGAAUCAACCGAAUUCAGCAACGAUACUAGUUUACCAAAACAGUAGAGCCUGCUGGACAAUCGUGCCAGUCAGAACCUAGAAAACUGCAUAGUCACAAGAAAGUCAGGUAGCAGUUAGUAGCUUUAGCUAUUAACGAAGUAU
rnacentral:sRNA from 1 species